rnacentral:misc_RNA from 1 species
AUGCGAUACGUAAUGUGAAUUGCAGAAUCUCGUGAAUCAUUGAAUCUUUGAACGCACAUUGCGCCUUAUGGUAUUCCAUAAGGCAUGCCUGUCUGAGCGUCAGCUCCCCCCCACUCAAGCUCUUUUGCUUGGAUUAUUUUGGAUAAGCAGCUGUACCGGUUGCUGUUCAUAAAUUCAUAGGCAGUAUGGUUUUCUUUCCAGGCUGAGCGUGAUAAAUUUUACUUAUACCGUUCAAUAUUGGAGGCAUCGUACUCGCCCUUAACCCACAAUAACUUUUAUUUGGGUGACCUCAGAUCAGGUAGGGAUACCCGCUGAACUUAA